AACUUUCAACAACGGAUCUCUUGGCUCUCGCAUCGAUGAAGAACGCAGCGAAAUGCGAUAAGUAGUGUGAAUUGCAGAACUUUGUGAACCAUCGAAUCUUUGAACGCAAAUUGCGCCUUUUUCGAAAGGCAUGUCUGUUUGAGGGCACCAU
rnacentral:rRNA from 1 species